rnacentral:sRNA from 1 species
UCCCGCAGCCCUUUUGGGGCGUUUCCUCCCCAGACUUCAGGCCGCUCCUUGUGGGCGGCUUUUUCUUGUCCGGG